UACAUGGGGUGCAAACGUUGCUCGGAAUUAUUGGGCGUAAAGCGCACGUAGGCGGUUUGUUAAGUCGGAUGUGAAAUCCCUCAGCUUAACUGGGGAACUGCGUCUGAUACUGGAUGGCUUGAGUUUGGGAGAGGGAUGCGGAAUUCCAGGUGUAGCGGUGAAAUGCGUAGAUAUCUGGAGGAACACCGGUGGCGAAGGCGGCAUCCUGGACCAACACUGACACUGAGGAGCGAAAGCCAGGGGAGCAAACGGG
rnacentral:rRNA from 1 species